GGGUGGUAAUGCCGGAUGUUCCACAUGAUCGCAUGUGAUUGUGGGAAAGAUUCUAUCGGCGUGGGAUGGGGUCGCGUCCUAUCAGCUUGUUGGUGAGGUAACGGCUCACCAAGGCUUCGACGGGUAGCCGGCCUGAGAGGGCGACCGGCCACAUUGGGACUGAGAUACGGCCCAGACUCCUACGGGAGGCAGCAGUGGGGAAUAUUGCACAAUGGGCGCAAGCCUGAUGCAGCGACGCCGCGUGAGGGAUGGAGGCCUUCGGGUUGUAAACCUCUUUUGUUUGGGAGCAAGCCUUCGGGUGAGUGUACCUUUCGAAUAAGCGCCGGCUAACUACGUGCCAGCAGCCGCGGUAAUACGUAGGGCGCAAGCGUUAUCCGGAUUUAUUGGGCGUAAAGGGCUCGUAGGCGGCUCGUCGCGUCCGGUGUGAAAGUCCAUCGCUUAACGGUGGAUCUGCGCCGGGUACGGGCGGGCUGGAGUGCGGUAGGGGAGACUGGAAUUCCCGGUGUAACGGUGGAAUGUGUAGAU
rnacentral:rRNA from 1 species